UAUAUUUAUAUGAGUGAAAGAAACAUAUUAGGGGCAGGAUUAUUACCUGCCACAUUUAGCCUCUGGAUGUGGUGAUCCAUACCUUUAACCCCAACAGUCUGGAGACAGAGCCUGAUGGAUUUCUGUGAGUUCAAGACCAGCUUGGUUAUAUGUAUAGGGAGUUUCCGGACAGCCAGGGUUCCAUCCACCCUUUUUCAAAAAACAAAAACAAACAAAAAAAUGUGCAUUUGUCUACUGUUUGGAGUACAUAAAAAUAAAAACAUACUAACAAGACACAUCUCCCCAAAGGGAUUUGACAAAUAGGUCUAAUCCUUUAUUUGAAGAGUUAAUAUCUAAUUGUUAAGACUUGGGAAAUAUUAGGAUAUACAUUUGCUUAAUUUUAGACAGGUUGUUAUUAACUCCAAAGUGAGCUUUGCCAGCAUUCAUAUGUUACUGAAUAUUAGCCAAGUGUGAAACUACUAAUUCCCUUGGAAAACUACAGCUUCCUUGGAAAAAUAAGUUUUGUUAAAAGAAAAAAAUUUUUGAGUAACUCAAAUCUGCUUAACUUUUUUUGGUCAGCAGAUGCUUGGUGUAUUCUGUAGUGUGAUUGCAUGAAAGAAGUGGACUGACUCUACUAUUGAUGUUUCAUUAUAUACUCCAUUGUCUAUAAAGUUGCCUGUAGAGCAGGUAUUUAAUAAAAACUCUUAAGUGACUGUCAGCCCAGUGAGAUAAGGGAAAUAUAAUCUUUUACUAUCAAUUGACUCUAAUAUCCUCUUCUCUUUCUAGAACUUGUUGGAGAAAGUAGCACAGAAAAUGCAAGCCCCUAGUAAAAUUCAUUGGAUUGAAAAGGCAAAUCAUUCCAUGGCAGUGAAAGGACGGUCUACAAAUGAUGUAUUCAAAGAAAUAAACACACAGAUCUUGUUUUGGAUCCAAGAAAUCACUGAAAUGGACAAGAAAUAAUUGUCAUUAAAAGCCAUGUUCUGAAUAAAAGUACGGUUGGUUAAUUUGAUAAAGUAUACCUCUCACUCAGCAUUGUGAGAUGUAUUUCAGACUAAUGUUCUUUAAUGUUGCCCUAUUUUUUAAACAUUGUAUCGUGAAAAUAUCCUUUACAAGAUGUCUUUUGAAAGCACUGUUAUAGUUAUAUGAAGAUAAUGUACAAAUAUUGAAGGUUGUCUAUAAUUUAUUUUCAUUAGUAUAGUUAAGUUUUGAAAAAUUAAACAUUUGCAUUUUGUUACAAUGGUGCCUUUGUUUUACUCUGAAAUGCAGAUAAGAAAUCUCUUAAUUUUAAGAAGUAGUAUUUUUAGUAUUUUAAAAAGAGAAAGGUGCUGGCAAGAUGCGCCAGUGAGGGCUUGUUAUGCAAACAUGAGUAAUUAUUUUUAAAAAGUUUGCUUUCAUUUAUCUGUUUUGGAAUGGUAGGGUUUGUGCAGAGGUCAAAAGUCAACUUGGGACAAUUGGUUCUCUAAUUUCAAGCUUGGUGUUCAGUGCCCUUUUCCUUAGCAUCUUGCCAAUCCCCAGUACCAUUGUAAAGAAGUGGGUACAACAGCUCCUAUAAACCUAGCACUAGGACUUGCUGGCCAGCCUGUCUAGCCAAGUCAGUGUGUUCUAACUUCAUAGGCAGUGUCUUAAAAAAUAAGGUGGAACACAAGUGCAUCUACCUUGGGACUCUACAUUUAUACUCAUGUGCACACAUAAAUUAUCGGGUUGAUUGUAGCUUCAAACCCUGGGCUCAACACAGUUAAAAGAAACAGGUGGACAUGUCCUAGAGGUGCAGUUCAAACAACCCUGCAUGUUUUUAAGAGUGAAGUAGUAGCAGCUUUCAUUCAUAAACUGUGUACUUAAUGUCUAUUAGGUAAAGCUUCAGUAGUAAGUUUUCCCUCCCC
rnacentral:lncRNA from 1 species